AUUAUUUAAAAAAUAAAGAAUAAAUAUCGGGGGUAGAUAUGCAGGCAGGACGGGGCAAAGCUCUGAGGGGUAGGGUAUGCAGGUCAGCAUUAUCUAGUUGCAAUGGUUAUGUUGGGUAAUGGGCCACCUGGUGGUCUAGCUGGAGGCAACAAGGCUGUAAAUCAAUUGUUCAUUCUUUCCUGAGAUGGGACACUCUCAACCUUGGUUUGAUAUUCUGGAUCUCCUAAGGCCAGUUCCUGGAAUUAUUUAAAUAAAAGGCAUGGUUAAACAUUAAGAGAGCACAGAAGAACAAUAUAGAAUGGCUGGACUAGGUGUGGUGGCUCACACCUGUAAUCACUUUGGGAGGCUAAGGCAAGAGGAUCACUUGAGCCUAGGAGUUCGAGACCAGCCGGGGCAACGUAGUGAGACCCUGUCUCUACAAAAGAAUUAAAAAUUAGGCAGGUGUGGUGGCGUGCACCUGUAGUCCUGUAGGUCUAAAACUGGCCUGUUUGGAGAUUUGGUUAUUAUUUCACUCUCUCCUGAUUUCCUUGAAGGUUUGAUAACAAUCCUGGUUUCAGGCUGGGUGCAGUGGCUCACACGUCUCUACUAAAAAUAACAAAAAUUAGCUGGGCGUGGUGGUGGGCGCCUAUAAUCCCCAGCUACUCAGGAGGUUGAGGCAGGAGAAUUGCUUGAACCUGGGAGAUAGAGGUUGAAGUGAGCCGAGAUCAUGCCAUUGCACUCCAGCCUGGGUGACGAGAGCAAAAUUCCAUCUCAAAAAAAAAAAAAAAAAAAAAAAAUAUUGGUUUUGGCUUGGUGGUGUAGAACUUCAGCAUUUGUACUCCAUUUUGGUUUGGUCCAUUGGGUCUAAUGCCAGAGCCCAGUCCAAAUAAUGAACUCCUAAAAAUUGUAUUUAACAUAAGGAAGGGAAGGAAGGAGAUAGAGGGAAAGGGGGCAUGAGAAAGAAGGGAAUGAGGCCAGGUGUGUGGCUCACACCUGUAAUCCCAGCACUUUAGGGGGCAGAGGCAGGAGGAUUGCUUGAACUCGAGUUCGAGACCAGCCUGGGCAACAUAGUGAGACCUCGUCUCUUUAAAAAAAAAAAAAAAGAGACUGAAGAAGAAAGGAAGUAGAGAGAAAGGAAGGAAAGAACUCACUCUUCAUUUGUAUUUCCUGGCUCUAGGUUUGCUAAAUAUAUGUGUAUAUUCUGACACUUUUUAAAACAGUAAAGAGGAUUUUAUUCAGGACUAUUGGAAGAGGGGAGAGAGGUCUGCCUCAACCAAACAGCAAGGGCAAGAAGUGGGGAUUUAUAGCCAACAAGAAGAGUGAGGGGUCAUGGCUGAAAAAAUAAUUAGAGCAGACAUCAUGGGUAGGGGGAUUCUAGCUAAACUGAACUCACAGGAUUCUUGCUAGAGGCAGACCAAGGACUUACAUAUCAGAGGUGAAGGAUCAGAAACUUGAUCAGAUAUGAAGGAUGGGGGAUAACUUAACAGGAUUCUUAUUAAAACUGGGCCAGGCAGGCCAAGGACAGGAGGGAGUGGAGGCCAAGUUUGGACAAGGAGAGAGCCUUUUGUCAGUUUUUUAAAUCACUCUUUGAGUAUGAGCCUGGGGAACUGGAGAAUUCAUUUUUUUCUUUUUAAAAUGUAGAUAUGAGGUUUUGCGACAUUACCCAGGCUGGUCUUGAGCUUCUAAGCUCAAGCAAUUCGCCCACCUCAGCCUCCCAAAGUGCUGGGAUUGUAGGCAUGAGCUGCUGCACCUGGCUGAGAAUUCAAAAACAGUAAAAAUUAGUAAGAUUAGAGUACUUUAAUGUGGUGCUUCACAGUAUACAACGUUCUUAAAAUCAGGGCCGGGCACGGUAGCUCAUGUCUGUAAUCCCAGCACUUUGGGAGGCCAAGGCUGGUGGAAGUCAGGAGUUCAAGACCAGCCUGGCCAACAUGGCGAAACCCCGUCUCUACUAAAAAUACAAAAAUUACCCGGGCGUGGUGGCGCAUGUCUGUAAUCCCAGGUACUCGGGAGGCUGAGGCACGAGAAUCACUUGAUCCUGGGAAGUGGAAGCUGCAAUGAGCCGAGAUCACACAACUCCACUCCAGCCUGGGAGACAGACUGAGACUCUGUCUCAAAAAAUAAUAUUAAAAAAAAUAAAAUCAGUAACCUGAGGAUACUGGAUAUCAACUCCUGUGU
rnacentral:lncRNA from 10 species